rnacentral:rRNA from 1 species
GGGUGAUCUGCCUCGCACUCUGGGAUAAGCCUGGGAAACUGGGUCUAAUACCGGAUAUGACCUUACAUCGCAUGGUGUUUGGUGGAAAGAUUUAUCGGUGCGAGAUGGGCCCGCGGCCUAUCAGCUUGUUGGUGGGGUAAUGGCCUACCAAGGCGACGACGGGUAGCCGGCCUGAGAGGGCGACCGGCCACACUGGGACUGAGACACGGCCCAGACUCCUACGGGAGGCAGCAGUGGGGAAUAUUGCACAAUGGGCGAAAGCCUGAUGCAGCGACGCCGCGUGAGGGAUGACGGCCUUCGGGUUGUAAACCUCUUUCGACAGGGACGAAGCGCAAGUGACGGUACCUGUAGAAGAAGCACCGGCCAACUACGUGCCAGCAGCCGCGGUAAUACGUAGGGUGCGAGCGUUGUCCGGAAUUACUGGGCGUAAAGAGCUUGUAGGCGGCUUGUCGCGUCGAUCGUGAAAACUUGGGGCUCAACCCCAAGCUUGCGGUCGAUACGGGCAGGCUUGAGUACUUCAGGGGAGACUGGAAUUCCUGGUGUAGCGGUGAAAUGCGCAGAUAUCAGGAGGAACACCGGUGGCGAAGGCGGGUCUCUGGGAAGUAACUGACGCUGAGAAGCGAAAGCGUGGGUAGCGAACAGGAUUAGAUA